CUCGGGAGCAGCCACAGGACUGGCAGCAGCGCCAUGUCCGGCCAGGAGGUGGGGGACGCCACGCCCUCUUAACCUGGGGGGUGCCCAUUCCCCGCCCGUCACGGCCCCUGGGCAGUUUCAGCUGCAGCCGCCUGGGCCCCCGGCGCCCCCGGAGCUGGAGAGCUCGCCCAGACCCUCCCCGGUCUCAGAAGCGCCGGGCGGACGGCUUUUCCAAAUUCCGCCGUCAGGCCGCGGACAGACAACGCGAAGCCGCGGGACAGGACGUGACGUGUGACACCGAGGUCCCCGCUGCGGGAUUUUGUGGAUUAAACUCUCGUGUGUGCUCGCAGCUGCGUGCCGCUGGGUCCGGUGUGACUUCCUUCCGUCCGGCCACGGCCUCUGAGCCUGUGACCUGACGGUGGCUCAGCCAGCCGGCCCCUGGCUGAUGUAACAGGCAAUUGUCAGAAAUGAAACGAUGGUUACUCUUUGUCGU